rnacentral:rRNA from 1 species
UACGGGGGGGGGUAAGCGUUGUUCGGAAUUACUGGGCGUAAAGGGCUCGUAGGCGGCCAACUAAGUCAUACGUGAAAUCCCUCAGCUUAACUGGGGAACUGCGUGUGAUACUGGAUGGCUUGGAUUUGGGAGAGGGAUGCGGAAUUCCAGGUGUAGCGGUGAAAUGCGUAGAUAUCUGGAGGAACACCGGUGGCGAAGGCGGCAUUCUGGACCGACAUUGACGCUGAGGAGCGAAAGCCAGGGGAGCAAAGCGGG